rnacentral:rRNA from 1 species
UACAGAGGUCUCAAGCGUUGUUCGGAUUCAUUGGGCGUAAAGGGUGCGUAGGUGGUGAUGCAAGUCUGGUGUGAAAUCUCGGAGCUCAACUCCGAAAUUGCAUUCGAUACUGGCGUGCUUGAGGACUGGAGAGGAGACUGGAAUUCAUGGUGUAGCAGUGAAAUGCGUAGAGAUCAUGAGGAAGACCAGUGGCGAAGGCGGGUCUCUGGACAGUUCCUGACACUGAGACACGAAGGCCAGGGGAGCAAACGGG